rnacentral:tRNA from 2 species
GGGCGCAUAGCUCAGCGGUAGAGCGUCCGUUUCACAUGCGGAAGGUCCCUGGUUCAAUCCCAGGUGCGCCCACCA